CCUACGGGAGGCAGCAGUGGGGAAUAUUGCGCAAUGGGCGAAAGCCUGACGCAGCGACGUCGCGUGAGGGAUGAAGGUCCUCGGAGCGUAAACCUCUGUCAGCAGGGAAGUACGGUCACUGUCGUAAUCAGCAGUGAAUUUACUGUACCUGCAAAGAACGCACCGGCUAACUCCGUGCCAGCAGGUGCGGUAAUACGGCGGGGGCGUGCGUUAAUCGGAUUUGCUGGGCGUAAGGGGAUCGUAGGUGGGAUGUCAAGUCAAUGGUGAAACCCCCGAGCUCAACGUGGGAACUGCCUUUGAAACUGGCAGACUUGAGUGUAGGAGAGGAAGGUGGAAUUCGUGGUGUAGGGGUGAAAUGCGUAGAUAUCAGGAGGAACACCGGUGGCGAAGGCGACUAUCUGGCACAUAACUGACGCUGAGGAGCGAAAGCGUGGGUAGCAAACAGGAUUAGAUACCCGGGUAGUC
rnacentral:rRNA from 1 species